rnacentral:tRNA from 3 species
GUGGCCGUAGCUCAGUUGGUAGAGCCCCUGAUUGUGAUUCAGGUUGUCGCGGGUUCAAGUCCCGUCGGUCGCCCCA